rnacentral:rRNA from 1 species
UCGAACGGGAUCUUCGGAUCUAGUGGCGGACGGGUUAGUAACGCGUGGGAACGUACCCUUCUCUACGGAAUAGUCUCGGGAAACUGGGUUUAAUACCGUAUACGCCCUUCGGGGGAAAGAUUUAUCGGGGAAGGAUCGGCCCGCGUUGGAUUAGGUAGUUGGUGGGGUAAUGGCCUACCAAGCCUACGAUCCAUAGCUGGUUUGAGAGGAUGAUCAGCAACACUGGGACUGAGACACGGCCCAGACUCCUACGGGAGGCAGCAGUGGGGAAUCUUCGGCAAUGGGCGCAAGCCUGACCGAGCCAUGCCGCGUGAGUGAAGAAGGCCUUAGGGUCGUAAAGCUCUUUCGCCAGGGAUGAUAAUGACAGUACCUGGUAAAGAAACCCCGGCUAACUCCGUGCCAGCAGCCGCGGUAAUACGGAGGGGGUUAGCGUUGUUCGGAAUUACUGGGCGUAAAGCGCACGUAGGCGGAUCAGAAAGUAUGGGGUGAAAUCCCGGGGCUCAACCCCGGAACUGCCUCAUAAACUCCUGGUCUUGAGUUCGAGAGAGGUGAGUGGAAUUCCGAGUGUAGAGGUGAAAUUCGUAGAUAUUCGGAGGAACACCAGUGGCGAAGGCGGCUCACUGGCUCGAUACUGACGCUGAGGUGCGAAAGUGUGGGGAGCAAACAGGAUUAGAUACCCUGGUAGUCCACACCGUAAACGAUGAAUGCCAGACGUCGGGCAGCAUGCUGUUCGGUGUCACACCUAACGGAUUAAGCAUUCCGCCUGGGGAGUAC